UACGUAGGGAGCAAGCGUUGUCCGGAAUCAUUGGGCGUAAAGCGCGCGUAGGUGGCCUCAUAAGUCCGCUGUGAAAGUCAAAGGCUCAACCUUUGAAAGCCGGUGGAUACUGUGAGGCUAGAGUACGGAAGAGGCGAGUGGAAUUCCUGGUGUAGCGGUGAAAUGCGCAGAUAUCAGGAGGAACACCCGUGGCGAAGGCGGCUCUCUGGGACGGUACUGACGCUGAGACGCGAAAGCGUGGGGAGCGAACAGG
rnacentral:rRNA from 1 species